rnacentral:lncRNA from 1 species
AUAAGCUUUCUCUUUUUAGUUAUUAUUUUAAAUAACAUUUUUAUCGAAACAGUAAAAAAAAAAAAAAAAAAAAGAAUGGAAGAAGAUAAUUCAUGGGAAGCAUAUUUAGAAAAUCGACUUUUAGCAACAGGUCGUGUUUCAGCAGCAGGUUUAGCUUCGGAGGAAAAUGGAGUAGUAUAUGCGUGCGUUGCACAUAAUGAUGAUAAUGAUGAAAAUUUUGACAAAUGGAAUUUAUUUUAUAAGGAAGACUAUGAUAUAGAAAUAGAAGACGAAGAAGGUAAUAAGACAACGAAAACUAUCAACGAGGGACAGGUUUUGUUGAAUGUCUUUGUAGAUGGCAAUGCACCAGAUGGUGUUUGGCUAGGUGGUAAAAAAUAUCAAUUUAUUAAUAUAGAUAGAGAUGUAGAAUAUGAGGGUUAUGUAUUCGAUGUAGUUACUUGCGCAAAACUUAAGGGAGGUUUUCACAUGAUAAAAAUACCCGGUGGGAAUAUAUUAAUCGCAUUUUAUGACGAAGAGAAGGAACAAGAUAGAGGUACAUAAAAAAUAGUUGUAAUUGCAACAUACGAGCAUGCUAACAUACAGAUAUACGAACAUGCGUGUGUAUAUGUAUACAUACGCUAUAAUAUAUGUAUAUUAUAUUAUUACCCCUGUAAUCACCAUAUCAGAACUAACCAUUUUUAUUUUUGUUUUUUUUUGUCAAUUUUACCUGAACAUGUUCAUAUAUAUAUAUA